UACGUAGGUGGCAAGCGUUGUCCGGAUUUACUGGGCGUAAAGAGCGCGCAGGCGGUCGUUCAAGUCGCGUGUGAAAGCCCCCGGCUCCAACUGGGGAGGGUCACGCGAUACUGAUCGACUCGAAGGCAGGAGAGGGAAGUGGAAUUCCCGGUGUAGUGGUGGAAUGCGUGAGAUAGUCGGGAGGAACACCAGUGGCGAAGGCGACUUCCUGGCCUGUUCUUGACGCUGAGGCGCGAAAGCUAGGGGAGCAAACAGG
rnacentral:rRNA from 1 species